AUCCAACUGACAAGUCCCGAAUAGGAUGAAACGCGCGUCACACUGCAU
rfam:Schistosoma margrebowiei strain Zambia genome assembly, scaffold: SMRZ_scaffold0000354